rfam:Schistosoma margrebowiei strain Zambia genome assembly, scaffold: SMRZ_scaffold0002933
AGCCUUCUGUAUUCGUGCUGAGAUUUCUUCACACACCAUACCACAAGGGCUGAUGAGACUUCUAAGAUAAGUGAAGCG